rnacentral:rRNA from 1 species
UACAGAGGGGGCAAGCGUUGUUCGGAAUUACUGGGCGUAAAGGGCGCGUAGGCGGCCUUCUAAGUCGAACGUGAAAUCCCUGGGCUCAACCCAGGAACUGCGUCCGAUACUGGAAGGCUUGAAUCCGGGAGAGGGAUGCGGAAUUCCAGGUGUAGCGGUGAAAUGCGUAGAUAUCUGGAGGAACACCGGUGGCGAAGGCGGCAUCCUGGACCGGUAUUGACGCUGAGGCGCGACAGCCAGGGGAGCAAACGGG